UCCGAUUUGUCACCGGCAGUCUCCCAUGAGUCCCCGUCUUUCACGCUGGCAACAUGGGACAGGGGUUGCGCUCGUUGCGGGACUUAGCCCAACACCUCACGGCACGAGCUGACGACAGCCAUGCACCACCUGUACACCUGCCCCGAAGGGCUGCCGUAUUUCUACGGCAUUCAGGUGCAUGUCAAGCCCUGGUAAGGUUCUUCGCGUUGCGCCGAAUUGAACCACAUGCUCCGCUGCUUGUGCGGGCCCCCGUCAAUUCCUUUGAGUUUCAGUCUUGCGACCGUACUCCCCAGGCGGCGAACUUAACGCGUUAGCUUCGAUACUGCGUGCCAAAUUGCACCCAACAUCCAGUUCGCAUCGUUUAGGGCGUGGACUAC
rnacentral:misc_RNA from 1 species